AUUUCUAAAUGAUAUUUUUGUUGUACUCUUCAUGUCUUGCCACACAUUUUCAUAUUUUGACCUUGUGUUUUAGAUUGAGGAGAAGCGCAUUUUCAUAUAGUACAUUUCUAAAUGAUAUUUUCGUUGGUUGGUUCUUUACACGAGUCAUGGUCUGAGAAGAAAGUUCUAGAUCCGCAAGGCCCCUUUCUUCAGAAGUGCAAUAAGAUAUUUGUUUUAUCCUGUGUUAUUGCAGUCUCAGUAGAUCCUUUGUUUUUUUACACCCCCGUGAUCAAUAAUAAUAAAGAGUGCCUGGAUUUAGACCAUAAGUUGGAGAUUACGGCUAGCGUUUUGCGAACCUCCACUGAUAUCUUUUACUUGCUUCAUAUUAUCCUCCAAUUUCGCACUGGAUUUAUUGCUCCAUCUUCUCAGGUCUUUGGUAGAGGGGUUUUAGUCGAAGAUGCAAAAGCAAUUGCAAAAAGAUAUCUCUUCCUACUCCUGGAUUGACGUUCUUGCUGUACUUCCCUUACCACAGGUGGAUUAAAGAAGGCACUUGAACACUUAAAAGCUACCUUCUUAUUUGCUUAGAGAGGUGGUGGAUCAUUUUUGGGUGGGUGUACAAACUACAAAGUUCUCUAGCUUUUGGAGUUAAUUGAUUGUUCUGGAUUGGAUAUCUUAUAUUUGUUGACAAUGAGGACACGAAGCUUGCUGCGGCUGCAGCAUGGAAAAGUGUAACCUCUGCAUGAAACACACGAGAGAUUGAGGUUAGUGCUAAGCUCGUGAUAAGGUUGUUUUGAUCACGUCAUCAUUUCUAUUUAUUUUAUAUUUGAUUAUCUUUGUAGGAAUCCCUCGAUUAC